rnacentral:rRNA from 1 species
AUUGAACGCUGGCGGCAUGCCUUACACAUGCAAGUCGAACGGCAGCGGGGACUUCGGUCCGCCGGCGAGUGGCGAACGGGUGAGUAAUGUAUCGGAACGUACCAUUCAGCGGGGGAUAACUAUCCGAAAGGAUAGCUAAUACCGCAUAUUCUGUGAGCAGGAAAGCAGGGGAUCGCAAGACCUUGCGCUGAUUGAGCGGCCGAUAUCGGAUUAGCUAGUUGGUGAGGUAACGGCUCACCAAGGCUACGAUCUGUAGCGGGUCUGAGAGGAUGAUCCGCCACACUGGGACUGAGACACGGCCCAGACUCCUACGGGAGGCAGCAGUGGGGAAUUUUGGACAAUGGGCGCAAGCCUGAUCCAGCCAUGCCGCGUGAGUGAAGAAGGCCUUCGGGUUGUAAAGCUCUUUCGGCCGGGAAGAAAUCGCAUCAGCUAAUACCUGGUGUGGAUGACGGUACCGGAAUAAGAAGCACCGGCUAACUACGUGCCAGCAGCCGCGGUAAUAC